CUAUCGCCAAAAUCGCUGACAACAUGCGGCGACUCAUCACGUCGCCUUGCUUUCGACUUUUACGCCACGUCGUUGUAGGGCCAUCUACUACGAUACCAAGCGCACGCUCAACGCCUCGGUUUGGCAGGAGGCGUCAACGCCUUCAGAGAAACCCGUCUCCGCCGACUUUUGAUGUGGCGAACGAUGAGGAUGCGAAGAGUAUUUGUUUUGAACGCUAUGGUUUUGUUCAAAAGCCGCUGUUCUUGAAAACUUGGCAAGAGUUUCUCCGUGAAUUGCAGCGCGUGGAGCUCACAUGGAGCUUGAUGCCGAGCGCUGGAGGCAUCCUUCAGCUAAAGAUUCAUGACCACCUUGAGCCCGGCGACGGGCUUCUCUGUGAACUGAAGGGCGCGGCGAAUCGGUCGGCGCCACUGGCAGAGUUUUUCGAAGCUUGUGGCUCCGUGUCUCAGGGCACCAUGUCGAAAGCCGAAGUAGAAUUCUUCGAUGGGGAGAGUUGCUCUGUAUUGCUGAUCGAGAGUAAAAAACGUCUAGGUGAGAUUCCAUUCAAAGAUGACCCUCCUAUUUUGCCUCUUUUGUGCCAGUUCAACUGCCGUGGAACUUCAGUGUCUCUCUCUGUACUGGACAAAAAAACACUCGUUCGAACACCCCUGUUCUCCGACAUUUCCAUUCAAACGCUGAACUACGCAUUUAUGACAUCUCUACCAUUGUUUUUGAAGCGGACAGACUUAGGCAUCCGCAACGCUGAUUUCGUGACUAAAGACCAGAUGCGUCAUUUUCGCUACGCGUGGUGCUUUCUUCGAAAAGAGUCGUGGAUGACACCAGUGGAGAUGGGGGAAUUAGAUGCACUACUCCCUCCCUAGUAUUCACAAGUCUUUUUCCCCCACAAACAGUGCCACAGUGAGCAAAGCUCAAGCAAGGAAGCACAGAAAAGAAAAGGGAAAGCAUCGAUGUCCUUUAGCAAUGGAAACGGCAGCCUUUUAGGUGGGGAGAAUGAUGUCGGCCACGGCAUAUUAUUCUUCGCGAAUCAUGUUCUGUUUUGGUCGGCGGAAUGCUGAGACUCAAGGCGCAAAGAGGGCGCAUAGGAUGCGCCAGAAAAAGAUUUCACGAAAGCCCUUUUUUUCUUGCACAACUCUUUCAUCUUCCUGCUGUUCUCCUCGUUGCAUAAAG
rnacentral:misc_RNA from 1 species